rnacentral:rRNA from 1 species
AGUGAACGCUGGCGGUAGGCCUAACACAUGCAAGUCGAACGGCAGCACAGUAAGAGCUUGCUCUUACGGGUGGCGAGUGGCGGACGGGUGAGGAAUACAUCGGAAUCUACUUUUUCGUGGGGGAUAACGUAGGGAAACUUACGCUAAUACCGCAUACGACCUACGGGUGAAAGCAGGGGAUCUUCGGACCUUGCGCGAUUGAAUGAGCCGAUGUCGGAUUAGCUGGUUGGCGGGGUAAAGGCCCACCAAGGCGACGAUCCGUAGCUGGUCUGAGAGGAUGAUCAGCCACACUGGAACUGAGACACGGUCCAGACUCCUACGGGAGGCAGCAGUGGGGAAUAUUGGACAAUGGGCGCAAGCCUGAUCCAGCCAUACCGCGUGGGUGAAGAAGGCCUUCGGGUUGUAAAGCCCUUUUGUUGGGAAAGAAAAGCAGCAGGUUAAUACCCCGCUGUUCUGGCGGUACCCAAAGAAUAAGCACCGGCUAACUUCGU